rnacentral:rRNA from 1 species
UACGAAGGGGGCUAGCGUUGUUCGGAAUUACUGGGCGUAGAGCGCACGUAGGCGGAUACUUAAGUCAGGGGUGAAAUCCCGGGGCUCAACCCCGGAACUGCCUUUGAUACUGGGUAUCUCGAGUCCGGAAGAGGUGAGUGGAAUUCCGAGUGUAGAGGUGAAAUUCGUAGAUAUUCGGAGGAACACCAGUGGCGAAGGCGGCUCACUGGUCCGGUACUGACGCUGAGGUGCGAAAGCGUGGGGAGCAAACAGG